UUCCGUAGGUGAACCUGCGGAGGGAUCAUUACACAAAUAUGAAGGCGGGCUGGAACCUCUCGGGGUUACAGCCUUGCUGAAUUAUUCACCCUUGUCUUUUGCGUACUUCUUGUUUCCUUGGUGGGUUCGCCCACCACUAGGACAAACAUAAACCUUUUGUAAUUGCAAUCAGCGUCAGUAACAAAUUAAUAAUUACAACUUUCAACAACGGAUCUCUUGGUUCUGGCAUCGAUGAAGAACGCAGCGAAAUGCGAUAAGUAGUGUGAAUUGCAGAAUUCAGUGAAUCAUCGAAUCUUUGAACGCACAUUGCGCCCUUUGGUAUUCCAAAGGGCAUGCCUGUUCGAGCGUCAUUUGUACCCUCAAGCUUUGCUUGGUGUUGGGCGUCUUGUCUCUAGCUUUGCUGGAGACUCGCCUUAAAGUAAUUGGCAGCCGGCCUACUGGUUUCGGAGCGCAGCACAAGUCGCACUCUCUAUCAGCAAAGGUCUAGCAUCCAUUAAACCUUUUUUUUCAACUUUUGACCUCG
rnacentral:rRNA from 1 species